rnacentral:rRNA from 1 species
UACGAAGGGAGCUAGCGUUGUUCGGAAUCACUGGGCGUAAAGCGCACGUAGGCGGAUGUGUCAGUCAGGGGUGAAAUCCCGGAGCUCAACUUCGGAACUGCCUUUGAUACAGCACAUCUGGAGUCCGGAAGAGGUGGGUGGAAUUCCUAGUGUAGAGGUGAAAUUCGUAGAUAUUAGGAAGAACACCGGUGGCGAAGGCGGCCCACUGGCUCGAUACUGACGCUGAGGUGCGAAAGCGUGGGGAGCAAACAGG